rnacentral:rRNA from 1 species
GACGAACGCUGGCGGCGUGCCUAAUACAUGCAAGUAGAACGCACAGUUUAUACCGUAGCUUGCUACACCAUAGACUGUGAGUUGCGAACGGGUGAGUAACGCGUAGGUAACCUGCCUGGUAGCGGGGGAUAACUAUUGGAAACGAUAGCUAAUACCGCAUAAUAUUAAUUAUUGCAUGAUAAUUGAUUGAAAGAUGCAACUGCAUCACUACCAGAUGGACCUGCGUUGUAUUAGCUAGUAGGUGAGGUAACGGCUCACCUAGGCGACGAUACAUAGCCGACCUGAGAGGGUGAUCGGCCACACUGGGACUGAGACACGGCCCAGACUCCUACGGGAGGCAGCAGUAGGGAAUCUUCGGCAAUGGACGAAAGUCUGACCGAGCAACGCCGCGUGAGUGAAGAAGGUUUUCGGAUCGUAAAGCUCUGUUGUAAGAGAAGAACGGGUGUGAGAGGGAAAGUUCACAC